rnacentral:tmRNA from 1 species
GGGGAUGUAAAGGUUUCGACAGGGAGGAGAGAGCCGGAGCAGCGGGUAGUGGUGCGGCCCCACUUUAACUGCCGCAACAAAUUAAUUAACAACACUGUUAACUUCAACCGCGCUCGUGUCGCGGUCGCAGCCUAACUUAGUUUAGCUGCCGCCAGCCCCAUGCACCGCCGAAUGGGUGUCUGACGUCAUUUAGGCGGUAAAUGUGAACAUCCUUAAGCUUUGCGGGGUGUCAUAAAUUCAUGAAGCUACCGACGCGGCGGCCUGAUUGCCGGCCUGCCGCCGGGGGAAUCCUGUAGACAAUCUGCACCCGGAGAUACUCCCGCCGACUUCUUUUUGGACACGGGUUCGAUUCCCGUCAUCUCCACCA